AUUUGGAGAAGUGCUUUUAUAUAAAUUUUCAUAGUAUGAUUUUUCUAUGUUUAAAAUUUCUGCGUGUUCUGUAACUAUUUUCCCCUGUUUAUCUUUUAGCGCUGUAAUGCUCUUUUUUGUUUGUCUUGAUUUUUCAAGGCCCAGGAAGAAUUUAGUAUUUUUCUCUCCUUCUUCUAACCAUUGUACUCGAGAUCUUAUUUGUGCACCUUUAACUUUAUUGGAAUUGAGGUGUUCAAGUUCAUUUUCAAUGGUUUUAAUUUCUUUUUUCAUAGUUGGGCUUGCAUUUGUUUUUUCAUUUAAUUUUCUUAAUUUUAUUUCUAAAUUUUUUAUAUCAUUUUUAUUUUCAGAUGAUCUUUGUUUGCAGUAAGUAAGAGUUGCGGUUCUUACCUCUGAUUUAAACAUAUCCCACAGUGUUUUUAAAUUUUUGGUCUGAUAUUUUGACAGUAGGCUGUAAUUGUUGGACUAUAUACAUGGUGUAGGAAUUUACAAUAAAUUUAGAAACAGUCGAAAUGUUUAUAGUUUGCAGAAACGGUACUUGUAUAUUUCUAUGGAGGAACAUUUUGGCAAAUAAUGUGUGGCUUGCAGAGGAUAGAAGGAUGGUUUUUACCAUAUGGAUUAAAUAAAACUUUUGAAGUAUUCCUAAUAUGUGGAUUAAAUAAGAUAUCCAAAUGCCUUUUACGUGAAAUGAAAAAGGGCAGUGUAAUAAUUCUAAUAUAUGUGGAUUGAGACUGAUGGAUAAUUUGUUAUAAAGCAAGCAUAUAUUCAGAAAAAUUUAUUUUGGAUAUAUGUGGAUUAAUGAAUUGGUAUUCAUCAAGGAUAUAUUCUUUUUAUCUAUAUUUCUACUUCGAGCGGCCAGUGUGUUUUUUUUUAAACAGUUCAACUUCAAGUAUAUGUAUAUUUAUUAUGUUUAUUGUAUUAUGAUUUUUUAAAUGAGUAUUGUGCAUCAUAAUAAAUUUUAUUACCAAUA